rnacentral:rRNA from 1 species
CGCAUCUGUGCAUGCAGCAUAUCAAUAAGCGGAGGAAAAGAAACUAACAAGGAUUCCCCUAGUAACGGCGAGUGAAGCGGGAAGAGCUCAAAUUUGAAAUCUUAAAGGGUUUCCCUUUACGAAUUGUAGUUUAAAGAAGUGUUUUCUGUUGAGGUUUUGGUAAAAGUUCUUUGGAAUAGGACAUCAUAGAGGGUGAGAAUCCCGUAUUUGACCUUUACUUUCAACUUUGUGAUACACUUUCAAAGAGUCGGAUUGUUUGGGAAUGCAGUCCAAAAUGGGUGGUAAAUUUCAUCUAAAGCUAAAUAUUGGCGAGAGACCGAUAGCGAACAAGUACCGUGAGGGAAAGAUGAAAAGAACUUUGAAAAGAGAGUUAAACAGUACGUGAAAUUGUCAAAAGGGAAGCGUUUGACACCAGUGUUGUUUUUCUGAAAAUCAAUUAAAGAACUGUUUAUGCUAAGCUGUUUAGACUUUAUCAGCUAAUCUGUUUAGUUUUGAGCUUUUCUUUAAUGCACUUUUCAGUUAACAAGUCAACAUCAAUUUCUUUUGCUGUAAAAAAGCUUGAGGAAGGUGGCUUGAGAUUCGUCUUAAGUGUUUAUAGCCUCUUGCCUAUGCAGUCGGAGAGAUUGAGGUCUGCAGCGUAGAUCCUUCGGGGCUAAAUGCAUUUGUGCUAAGUUAUAACAUUUUAUAGACAACUUGUUGACUAUGAUUUGUCUUGUAGCUUACUCGCUUAUGUUAUUUUACCUACGCUUAGGAUGUUGACAGCAGUAUAGACUGU